rnacentral:tRNA from 11 species
UCCCUGAUAGCUCAGCGGUAGAGUAGGUGACUGUUAAUCACUUGGUCGUUGGUUCGAAUCCAACUCAGGGAGCCA